AGAGCAUCGGGUGGAUGCCUUGGCACUGGGAGCCGAUGAAGGACGUGAUAAGCUGCGAUAAGCUGCGGUAAGGAGCACAUAUCCGAUAUACCCGCAGAUUUCCGAAUGGGGGAACCCACAUACGGUAAUGCGUAUGUAUCAUUAAGUGAAUACAUAGCUUAAUGAAGGGAACGGGGUGAACUGAAACAUCUAAGUAGCCCUAGGAAGAGAAAGAAAAAUCGAUUUCCUGAGUAGCGGCGAGCGAAAGGGAAAGAGGCCAAACCAAAUUGUUUACAGUUUGGGGUUGUGGACCACCGACAUUGACGAAGUUAUGCGAGCCGAAUAGGGUUGGAAAGCUCAAGCAGAGAAGGUAAUACUCCUGUAGGCGAAGCAGAAAGCGCAUAGGUGGCACCAGAGUAGGACCGGACACGUGUAACCCGGUCUGAAGCCGGAGGGACCACCCUCCAAGCCUAAAUACUACCCAGUGACCGAUAGCGAAUAGUACCGUGAGGGAAAGGUGAAAAGAACCCCGGGAGGGGAGUGAAAUAGAAUCUGAAACCUGAUGCUUACAAGCAUAGGGAGCGCAAGUGACCUAGUACUUUUUGUAGAACGGGCCAACGAGUUAUGGUAUGUAGCGAGGUUAAGUUGCUGGAGCAACGGAGCCGUAGAGAAAUCGAGUCUGAAUAGGGCGAGAGUUACAUGCUGUAGACCCGAAACCGGGUGACCUAUCCAUGAGCAGGUUGAAGUAACCGUAAAAGGUUAUGGAGGACCGAACCUAUAUCUGUUGAAAAAGGUUAGGAUGACUUGUGGAUAGCGGUGAAAUUCCAAUCGAACUCGGAUAUAGCUGGUUCUCCUCGAAAUAGCUUUAGGGCUAGCCUCAAGGUAAAGAUACACGGGGGUAGAGCACUGACUGUUCGCGGGGCCUUCACCGGUUACCAACAACUAUCAAACUCCGAAUACCGUGCUAUCAUACUUGGGAGUCAGACUAUGAGAGAUAAGUUCCAUGGUCGAAAGGGAAACAGCCCAGAUCAACAGCUAAGGUCCCAAAGAGUAAGUUAAGUGGAAAAGGAUGUGGGAUUGCACAAACAGCUAGGAUGUUGGCUUAGAAGCAGCCAUACAUUUAAAGAGUGCGUAAUAGCUCACUAGUCGAGUGAUCCUGCGCCGAAGAUAAACGGGGCUCAAACUUACCACCGAAGCUUUGGAAUUAGUAUAACUAAUUGGUAGAGGAGCAUUCUAUACAGGUAGAAGGAGGCGCGUAAGCAAAUCUGGACGGUAUAGAAGAGAGAAUGUUGGCAUGAGUAGCGUAAGGCGGGUGAGAAUCCCGUCCGCCGAAAAUCUAAGGUUUCCUGAGGAAGGUUCGUCCUCUCAGGGUAAGUCGGGACCUAAGCCGAGAGCGAACGCUGUAGGCGAUGGACAACAGGUUGAUAUUCCUGUACCACCAAGGAUUGUUUGAAUGAAGUGGGGACACAGAAGGAUAGAUUGAGCACGCCGUUGGUUGAGCGUGUCCAAGCAGCAAGGCUUGAAAGUAGGCAAAUCCGCUUUCUACAAGGCUGAGCUGUGAUGGGGUGGUCGAAUGACCGGUAGCAAUCGAUUUCACGCUGUCAAGAAAAGCCGCUAAUGAGAUCCAAGGUGCCCGUACCGCAAACCGACACAGGUAGAUGAGGAGAGAAUCCUAAGGUGAGCGAGAGAACUAUUGUUAAGGAACUCGGCAAAAUAACCCCGUAACUUCGGGAGAAGGGGUGCCUGCUUCGGCAGGCCGCAGUGAAGAGGUCCAGGCAACUGUUUACCAAAAACACAGGUCUCUGCUAAAGCGAAAGCUGAUGUAUAGGGGCUGACGCCUGCCCGGUGCUGGAAGGUUAAGGGGAAGUGUUAGGGCAACCGAAGCACAGAACUUAAGCCCCAGUAAACGGCGGCCGUAACUAUAACGGUCCUAAGGUAGCGAAAUUCCUUGUCGGGUAAGUUCCGACCCGCACGAAAGGCGUAAUGAUCUGGGCACUGUCUCAACAAUAGACUCGGUGAAAUUGUAGUACCGGUAAAGAUGCCGGUUACCCGCAGCAGGACGGAAAGACCCCGUGGAGCUUCACUGUAGCUUGAUAUUGAUUUUCGGCAUUGCAUGUACAGGAUAGGUGGGAGACGUUGAGUUCAGCACGCCAGUGUUGGAGGAGUCACCGUUGGGAUACCACCCUUGUAAUGUUGGAAAUCUAACCUAGUACCGUGAUCCGGUACAGGGACAGUGUCAGGUGGGCAGUUUGACUGGGGCGGUCGCCUCCUAAAGAGUAACGGA
rnacentral:rRNA from 1 species